UACGUAGGGUGCGAGCGUUGUCCGGAAUUAUUGGGCGUAAAGAGCUCGUAGGCGCCUGUCGCGUCGGAUGUGAAAACUCGGGGCUUAACCCCGAGCCUGCAUUCGAUACGGGCAGGCUAGAGUUCGGCAGGGGAGACUGGAAUUCCUGGUGUAGCGGUGAAAUGCGCAGAUAUCAGGAGGAACACCGGUGGCGAAGGCGGUCUGCUGGGCAGUUGCUGACACUGAGGCGCGACAGCGUGGGGAGCAAACAGG
rnacentral:rRNA from 1 species